rnacentral:sRNA from 1 species
CGGGACGCCUUCGGGGUCCCGCGACUUGAGUCGGGCGCCGGACGGUGUCCGGAGCCCGCUCGUACCCAUCUUGCUCUUAGGAGGACUUGGAUAUGAGGU